rnacentral:rRNA from 1 species
AUUGAACGCUGGCGGCAGGCCUAACACAUGCAAGUCGAGCGGUAGCACAGAGAGCUUGCUCUCGGGUGACGAGCGGCGGACGGGUGAGUAAUGUCUGGGAAACUGCCUGAUGGAGGGGGAUAACUACUGGAAACGGUAGCUAAUACCGCAUAACGUCGCAAGACCAAAGUGGGGGACCUUCGGGCCUCAUGCCAUCAGAUGUGCCCAGAUGGGAUUAGCUAGUAGGUGGGGUAAUGGCUCACCUAGGCGACGAUCCCUAGCUGGUCUGAGAGGAUGACCAGCCACACUGGAACUGAGACACGGUCCAGACUCCUACGGGAGGCAGCAGUGGGGAAUAUUGCACAAUGGGCGCAAGCCUGAUGCAGCCAUGCCGCGUGUGUGAAGAAGGCCUUCGGGUUGUAAAGCACUUUCAGCGGGGAGGAAGGCGGUGAGGUUAAUAACCUCAUCGAUUGACGUUACCCGCAGAAGAAGCACCGGCUAACUCCGUGCCAGCAGCCGCGGUAAUACGGAGGGUGCAAGCGUUAAUCGGAAUUACUGGGCGUAAAGCGCACGCAGGCGGUCUGUCAAGUCGGAUGUGAAAUCCCCGGGCUCAACCUGGGAACUGCAUUCGAAACUGGCAGGCUAGAGUCUUGUAGAGGGGGGUAGAAUUCCAGGUGUAGCGGUGAAAUGCGUAGAGAUCUGGAGGAAUACCGGUGGCGAAGGCGGCCCCCUGGACAAAGACUGACGCUCAGGUGCGAAAGCGUGGGGAGCAAACAGGAUUAGAUACCCUGGUAGUCCACGCCGUAAACGAUGUCGAUUUGGAGGUUGUGCCCUUGAGGCGUGGCUUCCGGAGCUAACGCGUUAAAUCGACCGCCUGGGGAGUACGGCCGCAAGGUUAAAACUCAAAUGAAUUGACGGGGGCCCGCACAAGCGGUGGAGCAUGUGGUUUAAUUCGAUGCAACGCGAAGAACCUUACCUGGUCUUGACAUCCACAGAACUUUCCAGAGAUGGAUUGGUGCCUUCGGGAACUGUGAGACAGGUGCUGCAUGGCUGUCGUCAGCUCGUGUUGUGAAAUGUUGGGUUAAGUCCCGCAACGAGCGUAACCCUUAUCCUUUGUUGCCAGCGGUCCGGCCGGGAACUCAAAGGAGACUGCCAGUGAUAAACUGGAGGAAGGUGGGGAUGACGUCAAGUCAUCAUGGCCCUUACGACCAGGGCUACACACGUGCUACAAUGGCAUAUACAAAGAGAAGCGACCUCGCGAGAGCAAGCGGACCUCAUAAAGUAUGUCGUAGUCCGGAUUGGAGUCUGCAACUCGACUCCAUGAAGUCGGAAUCGCUAGUAAUCGUAGAUCAGAAUGCUACGGUGAAUACGUUCCCGGGCCU